rnacentral:lncRNA from 1 species
GUUUGUAGACACUUAAAGUGACACACAUUUGUGUGCCUAUAGCUUCUCAUGUGACAUGGAUAGAGCAGAGAGAAAGAGAGAUACAAUUGGCAAUGAUAUGAAGAAGCUGUUGGCCAUAUCGUCGGAGCAGGCUAAUUACAAGCAUGAUGCAUUUGCACAUUACUCGGACCUAGGUGCGCAACUUCCUUAAUUUCCUGCAUUCUAUUUCGAUACAUAGGUUGCUUAUAAGCCUUGAUUUUUUGAUUUGAGUAUAUAUAUAUGUAUGUUCACCUCCGGGCUCCGGUCCUCCAGUAAGGCUCCAUUUGGG